GACAGAGGGUGCAAACGUUGUUCGGAAUUACUGGGCGUAAAGCGCGUGUAGGCUGCUCUGCAAGUCGGGUGUGAAAGCCCUGGGCUCAACCUAGGAAGUGCACUCGAAACUGCGGAGCUGGAGUCCUGGAGAGGACGGCGGAAUUCUCGGUGUAGAGGUGAAAUUCGUAGAUAUCGAGAGGAACACCGGUGGCGAAGGCGGCCGUCUGGACAGUGACUGACGCUGAGACGCGAAAGCGUGGGGAGCAAACAGG
rnacentral:rRNA from 1 species